rnacentral:rRNA from 1 species
AUUGAACGCUGGCGGCAUGCCUUACACAUGCAAGUCGAACGGCAGCGGGGGAGAAGCUUGCUUUUCCUGCCGGCGAGUGGCGAACGGGUGAGUAAUACAUCGGAACGUGCCCUGUAGUGGGGGAUAACUAGUCGAAAGAUUAGCUAAUACCGCAUACGACCUGAGGGUGAAAGUGGGGGACCGCAAGGCCUCAUGCUAUAGGAGCGGCCGAUGUCUGAUUAGCUAGUUGGUGGGGUAAAGGCCUACCAAGGCGACGAUCAGUAGCUGGUCUGAGAGGACGAUGAGCCACCCUGGGACUGAGACACGGCCCAGACUCCUACGGGAGGCAGCAGUGGGGAAUUUUGGACAAUGGGCGAAAGCCUGAUCCAGCAAUGCCGCGUGUGUGAAGAAGGCCUUCGGGUUGUAAAGCACUUUUGUCCGGAAAGAAAUGGCUCUGGUUAAUACCUGGGGUCGAUGACGGUACCGGAAGAAUAAGGACCGGCUAACUACGUGCCAGCCGCCGCGGUAA